AUUCCAUGGUGAGGACAAUCUGAUAUGUAUCCUUGAAAACGCUCCCAUGCUUCUGGUGUCUGUCUUCUGCUGUUGGAAACUGACAAUAUUUCCUCUUAAGGU
rnacentral:snoRNA from 1 species